rnacentral:rRNA from 1 species
UACAGAGGUGGCAAGCGUUGUUCGGAAUUACUGGGCGUAAAGCGCGUGUAGGCGGCAAGGUAAGUCGGAUGUGAAAGCCCACGGCUCAACCGUGGAAGUGCACCCGAAACUGCCUAGCUAGAGUCUCGGAGAGGAAGGUGGAAUGCUUGGUGUAGAGGUGAAAUUCGUAGAUAUGCGGAGGAACACCGGUGGCGAAGGCGGCCAUCUGGACGACUACUGACGCUGAGACGCGAAAGCGUGGGGAGCAAACAGG